AUGGGAAAUUUGCAGGGGACCACGUCCCGUUGGGCCCCGUCUCACCCUCUCCUCUCCCUCAAAACCAACGCGGACUCAGUGCUGCCUGCUGUCCCCAAACCCUUGGCAGCUGGGUUGUCACCCGACGGGUUGGGAGCCGCCUUGCUCGUCUGCCGAGCCGCCGGCAAGCGCGACACGACGCGGAUUAGGCGCCGAGCAGGAUCACGGGCCCUCAGCGGGUGCCGCGGGGGGCCCCAGCGUCCGGGUGCACCCGGCAGCGAGGCUCUUCACCGCGGCAGCACCCGUGCAAAUGCAAGACAGCUCGGUAUAACCCCUGGAUCCAGCUGGAAAAAUCCCUUCCAAAGCUCUUCUGCAGCUCCAAACGCCAUGGGGAGACAGGGCCGGCUCGUGCCCGCUCUGGCGCCCGGGCCGGCUCGCGGGGGUCCCGACUUUUUUGCGCAUCCCUGCGGGAAUGCCGCCUGCUCCCGCGCUCCCAGAGCAAUUUCACAGCUGUUUGCCUGUUACCGAGCGAGGAUUCACCGCGGGCCAACGCUCAGAGAGGAUGCGGCGAGGGCACGGCAAACUCCAUCCCUGCUCCCGCAGGGGAGUGCAGGGAUUUCCCACGGCACCAGCAGCAUGGUGACCAAAACCUCACCCCCGGAGCAGCCCGAAACAGCCUCCUCCGCUGCCCCAAACCUCGGCGCCGGCUCCGCUGCGACCCCGCGGUGCGUUUCAGGAGUUUGCAAGCCUCCAGCGCCCGCGGGUGCCGCAGCCGGAUGUGUUGGGUGCCCCCCCGGUCCGCGUCGCGGGAGCCUCGGGGUGAUACGCGCCCUUCGCGCAGGCGGCUCCCGAGCGCCGCCGGCAGCGACGCUCCAGCUCGGUGCUCCUCGCAUCCUGCCCUCCCUCCCUCCCGGGCCCGACCCAGGGAGAAGUUUAUUUUCCGGGCGAAGAAGGGGCGCGGAGGAGUUUUGCGGGUUUCUGCCCGGCCGAUCUCCCGCUGAGCCGAUGGGUUUAAUGCCGCUGCGAUGCAACGGUGUCGUUCAUGGCCUGUUCGGGUGCCUCAAGCCCCACGGAGGCGCCUUUCCAGCGAUUUCCAUCUAA
rnacentral:lncRNA from 1 species